ACCUGGCUGGCUCAGUCAUAAGAGCAUGUGACUCUUGAUCUCAGGGGUGUAAGUUCGAGCCCCACGUUGGGUG
rfam:Ailuropoda melanoleuca scaffold1398_62, whole genome shotgun sequence.